rnacentral:rRNA from 1 species
GUGCCAGCCGCCGCGGUAAUACGUAGGGGGCGAGCGUUGUCCGGAAUUAUUGGGCGUAAAGGGUUCGUAGGCGGUUAUUUAAGUCAGGUGUGAAAGGCAUGGGCUUAACCUGUGUAAGCACUUGAAACUGGAUAACUUGAGUUAAGGAGAGGAAAGUGGAAUUCCUAGUGUAGCGGUGAAAUGCGUAGAUAUUAGGAGGAAUACCAGUGGCGAAGGCGACUUUCUGGACUUAUACUGACGCUGAGGAACGAAAGCGUGGGGAGCAAACAGGAUUAGAUACCCUGGUAGUCCACGCCGUAAACGAUGAGUGCUAGGUGUUGGAGGGAAACCUUCGGUGCCGCAGCUAACGCAUUAAGCACUCCGCCUGGGGAGUACGUACGCAAGUAUGAAACUCAAAUAAAUUGACGG